rnacentral:rRNA from 1 species
CUCAUUAAAUCACACCUAAUGUCYUGGAUAGUGCCAGUUACUUGGAUAACUGCGGUAAUUCUGGAGCUAAUACAUGCGUUCAAGCCCCGAACGUGAGUGAGGGGUGCUUUUAUUAGAUCAAGACCAAACGCCCGCUCCGGCGGGCGUCCGUCUGGUGACUCUGAAUAACUUUGCGCGGAUCGCACGGCCUCGCGCCGGCGACGUGUCUUUCCAAGGUGUGCCCUAUCAACUGUCGACUGUGGCAUAGACGCCCACAGUGGUUUUGACGGGUAACGGGGAAUCAGGGUUCGAUUCCGGAGAGGGAGCCUGAGAGACGGCUACCACUUCUAAGGAAGGCAGCAGGCACGCAAAUUACCCACUGGCCGAAGGCCGAGGUAGUGACGAAAAAUAACGAUACCGGACUCAUCCGAGGCCCGGUAAUCGGAAUGAGUACACUUUAAAUCCUUUAACGAGGAACCAUUGGAGGGCAAGUCUGGUGCCAGCAGCCGCGGUAAUUCCAGCUCCAAUAGCAUAUGUUAAAGUUGUUGCGGUUAAAAAGCUCGUAGUUGGAUCUCGGCGGGCCGGGGUCGGUUCGCU